UACGUAGGGACCAAGCGUUGUUCGGAUUUACUGGGCGUAAAGGGCGCGUAGGCGGCGUGGUAAGUCACUUGUGAAAUCUCUGAGCUUAACUCAGAACGGUCAAGUGAUACUGCUGUGCUAGAGUGCAGAAGGGGCAAUCGGAAUUCUUGGUGUAGCGGUGAAAUGCGUAGAUAUCAAGAGGAACACCUGAGGUGAAGACGGGUUGCUGGGCUGACACUGACGCUGAGGCGCGAAAGCCAGGGGAGCAAACGGG
rnacentral:rRNA from 1 species